UACGGGGGGAGCAAGCGUUGUUCGGAUUUACUGGGCGUAAAGGGCGCGUAGGCGGCCAGCGCAAGUCAGUUGUGAAAUCUCCGGGCUUAACUCGGAAAGGUCAACUGAUACUGCGCGGCUAGAGUGCGGAAGGGGCAACUGGAAUUCUUGGUGUAGCGGUGAAAUGCGUAGAUAUCAAGAGGAACACCUGCGGCGAAGGCGGGUUGCUGGGCCGACACUGACGCUGAUGCGCGAAAGCCAGGGGAGCGAACGGG
rnacentral:rRNA from 1 species